AUCUGAUCCAGAUGACCUCACGCAGCCGCGCCCGUCCUCCUUCCCCAUUGCCCCUCCUCUCGAGCCACCGGCUGGCGCUCUCCCUUCGCCGGAAGAGCCUCCCCCUCCUCCUCCGGAAGCUAUUUGUGGCCCAGUUGUUCGGAGAUGGAUUUACCGGCUCGAUCGAGGAGCGGCGGGGGUAGAAGUGCAAGGCGAGGAGUGCUUGAUGCGAAGCGCUCAUAACAGCCACGCGCGUCUGCCUUUACUGGUGAGCGCAUCAAGGUUUGCCACCAACUGCUCUCCUUUUAUUCAGAGGAUGAGAGGAACACUGCUGAUUAGAUACUCCCGUUAAAAGUUCCCAACCGGACACUAGGUUUUGAAUCUUAAAUGAUGGCUGCUUGAUAAUUUGUCCAAGUUGAGAUCCACCACUGACGACAAGAGUUUGCUACCCUGCUCCUAUGAAGGUAGCCGAAGGCCUGCACCUCCCACCGUUCCAAUUUUUUCGGUUGAAUCAAGUGUCAAUUAAUGAGAUGGAUGUGUUGUUCAUGCUCUUUGAGAAGGCCAGCCGCUCCAGACGACAGUGAACUCAUCCAACUGAUUUUGUAGGAUACACGCUGAAUGCGUUGCUCGCCUGUCACUCCUUCGCUAGGAGGGGCGUAACAUGCUACUCGCUCCGAUGCUCCAGGUUGAAGCGGCGAUGGCGGUUGUAGCGUGACUGACGGCAUCAGCAACAAGCAGUUACUCAUCUUUGCAUCAGCAACAGAUGGAUUAUGGAAUUGUUUCAAUCUGGAUAUUUCGCUUGGAAAAAAUUGUCACGUACACUACCAGAAGGGUGAGAGUGAAUUUCAAUAGGCUUAUGACAAAGGAAUGCCCAAAUCAAAGUUCUGGGAGCCUACAUAUGAAGAUUGCUUAAAUAUGAUUGAUGUACCACAGGUACUCCCCCG